rnacentral:rRNA from 1 species
UUUAUGGAGAGUUUGAUCCUGGCUCAGGAUGAACGCUGGCGGCGUGCCUAAUACAUGCAAGUCGAGCGAACGGACGAGAAGCUUGCUUCUCUGAUGUUAGCGGCGGACGGGUGAGUAACACGUGGAUAACCUACCUAUAAGACUGGGAUAACUUCGGGAAACCGGAGCUAAUACCGGAUAAUAUUUUGAACCGCAUGGUUCAAAAGUGAAAGACGGUCUUGCUGUCACUUAUAGAUGGAUCCGCGCUGCAUUAGCUAGUUGGUAAGGUAACGGCUUACCAAGGCAACGAUGCAUAGCCGACCUGAGAGGGUGAUCGGCCACACUGGAACUGAGACACGGUCCAGACUCCUACGGGAGGCAGCAGUAGGGAAUCUUCCGCAAUGGGCGAAAGCCUGACGGAGCAACGCCGCGUGAGUGAUGAAGGUCUUCGGAUCGUAAAACUCUGUUAUUAGGGAAGAACAUAUGUGUAAGUAACUGUGCACAUCUUGACGGUACCUAAUCAGAAAGCCACGGCUAACUACGUGCCAGCAGCCGCGGUAAUACGUAGGUGGCAAGCGUUAUCCGGAAUUAUUGGGCGUAAAGCGCGCGUAGGCGGUUUUUUAAGUCUGAUGUGAAAGCCCACGGCUCAACCGUGGAGGGUCAUUGGAAACUGGAAAACUUGAGUGCAGAAGAGGAAAGUGGAAUUCCAUGUGUA